CCUGUUUAAAUCCACACCUGUCUUUCCAUUUGAAUGUCUUACAUGUAGUCGGGGAGUGAAAGCGGACGAUGAAAGGUCCCCUGGAGAAAACGUCGGUCUCAUUGGUCCCCUCUCCUUCUAGUUUAGGAGUCUCGGACCUCCUGGAUAAGACACAAGUCGCACCUAGAGAGAAUCUAGGGAGCCAAAGCGGGGACAGUUAGCUCCUUUGAGCCGUGUGUGGUCUUGUGUCGCUUCAGUUGCUGCCAUCGGCAUACAUCGGUUUACCUUCAGUAGAACGCCCAUAACCUUCUUGUUGCUCGCCUUUGACUCUCCAAAGCUCUGGACAUUGAAGGCGCAGAUUUUCAGAGCGGAUGCGACGUUCAGCGCACACAGCGCCGCAACAAACAGCAGCGCCACGGUCCUCAUCUUGCAGAAAAGUGUGUGCUCUAGGAGCCGACACAGUAGGAGACUGAUCUCAGGCCAGCGGAGACGCAUCUCUUCUGUGUCCAGCGGUGGAUUUAGGGAACAUGCAGGGCAACCAAGGCCUUCUCCUCAUACACCAGCCUCUGCUUCUCCAUCUGGACGACCAGUUUCUUCACACCAUCUUUCGGAAACUUCUGCAGGGACAUAACACUGCCGAGUUACAUCUACCAACGAUUUUAAGGUGAGAAGCAAACCAAAACCACAGACAAGCGCAGCCAUUAUUAGUUUCACUGUUCAGCAGCACAUUGCCGGGAUAAUACUCAAUAUAUAGUUGCUAAGAAAUAAAGUUAAAAAAACGAACACGUUAAUGCGUGAUUCAAAUCUCUCUUCCUGCUAAGUUUCU